rnacentral:rRNA from 1 species
CACGAACGCUGGCGGCAUGCCUAACACAUGCCAGUCGAACGAGACCUUCGAGUCUAGUGGCGCACGGGUGCGUAACGCGUGGGAAUCUGCCCUUGGGUUCGGGAUACCCGUUGGAAACGACUGCUAAUACCGGAUGAUGUCUUCGGACCAAAGAUUUAUCGCCCAAGGAUGAGCCCGCGUAGGAUUAGCUUGUUGGUGAGGUAAGAGCUCACCAAGGCGACGAUCCUUAGCUGGUCUGAGAGGAUGAUCAGCCACACUGGGACUGAGACACGGCCCAGACUGCUACGGGAGGCAGCAGUGGAGAAUAUUGGACAAUGUGCGAAAGCCUGAGCCAGCAAUGCCGCGUGAGUGAUGAAGGCCUUAGGGUUGUAAAGCUCUUUUACCCGGGAUGAUAAUGACAGUACCGGGAGAAUAAGCACCGGCUAACUACGUGCCAGCCGCCGCCGUAA